rnacentral:rRNA from 1 species
AGAAUCAACGCUGGCGGCGUGCCUAACACAUGCAAGUCGAACGAGAAAGUGGAGCAAUCCAUGAGUAAAGUGGCGCACGGGUGAGUAACACGUGACUAACCUACCUUUUAGUGGGGGAUAACCUAGGGAAAACCUGGGCUAAUACCGCAUAAUACCUACGGGUCAAAGCAGCAAUGCGCUGAUAGAGGGGGUCGCGGCCGAUUAGCUAGUUGGCGGGUAAUGGCCACAAGGCAGUGAUCGGUA